rnacentral:rRNA from 1 species
UACGGGGGGGGCAAGCGUUGUUCGGAAUUACUGGGCGUAAAGGGCUCGUAGGUGGCCAACUAAGUCAGACGUGAAAUCCCUCAGCUUAACUGGGGAACUGCGUCUGAUACUGGAUGGCUUGGAUCCGGGAGAGGGAUGCGGAAUUCCAGGUGUAGCGGUGAAAUGCGUAGAUAUCUGGAGGAACACCGGUGGCGAAGGCGGCAUCCUGGACCGGCAUUGACGCUGAGGAGCGAAAGCCAGGGGAGCAAACGGG